rnacentral:rRNA from 1 species
AUUGAACGCUGGCGGCAUGCUUUACACAUGCAAGUCGAACGGUAACAGGUUAAGCUGACGAGUGGCGAACGGGUGAGUAAUGCAUCGGAACGUGCCCGGUCGUGGGGGAUAACGCAGCGAAAGCUGCGCUAAUACCGCAUACGAUCUAAGGAUGAAAGCGGGGGGCCGUAACGCCUCUCGCGAUCGGAGCGGCCGAUGUCAGAUUAGGUAGUUGGUGGGGUAACGGCUCACCAAGCCAACGAGCGGUAGCUGGUCUGAGAGGACGACCAGCCACACUGGGACUGAGACACGGCCCAGACUCCGAAGGGAGGCAGCAGUGGGGAAUUUUGGACAAUGGGCGAAAGCCUGAUCCAGCAAUGCCGCGUGCAGGAAGAAGGCCUUCGGGUUGUAAACUGCUUUUGUACGGAGCGAAAAGGUCUCCUCUAAUACAGGGGGCUCAUGACGGUACCGUAAGAAUAAGCACCGGCUAACUACGUGCCAGCCGCCGCAGUAA